UCUUUAUUUUGUAACUGUUCAGCCACGAGGCGGGGUGGAAGGCGGCCCUGCAGCAUUGCGGAAGGCUGGUCUGCUGGAGAAACUUAAAGAACAAGCGAACUGUGGAGUAAGAUGACCUGCGUGUGUGAGCGCUGGGUUGGGGGAACUGAAAAUAGGAGGCAGGGGCUGCAGGAAGCAGACCACCAGCAAGAGGACCCCUCUCUGUGAAGGAAAAUAAAAUGAAAUGGUCAUAAUAACA